rnacentral:rRNA from 1 species
GACGCACGCUGGCGGCGUGCCUAAUACAUGCAAGUUGAGCGCUGAAGGUUGGUACUUGUACCAACUGGAUGAGCAGCGAACGGGUGAGUAACGCGUGGGGAAUCUGCCUUUGAGCGGGGGACAACAUUUGGAAACGAAUGCUAAUACCGCAUAAAAACUUUAAACACAAGUUUUAAGUUUGAAAGAUGCAAUUGCAUCACUCAAAGAUGAUCCCGCGUUGUAUUAGCUAGUUGGUGAGGUAAAGGCUCACCAAGGCGAUGAUACAUAGCCGACCUGAGAGGGUGAUCGGCCACAUUGGGACUGAGACACGGCCCAAACUCCUACGGGAGGCAGCAGUAGGGAAUCUUCGGCAAUGGACGAAAGUCUGACCGAGCAACGCCGCGUGAGUGAAGAAGGGUUUCGGAUCGUAAAACUCUGUUGGUAGAGAAGAACGUUGGUGAGAGUGGAAAGCUCAUCAAGUGACGGUAACUACCCAGAAAGGGACGGCUAACUACGUG